rfam:Otolemur garnettii contig152207, whole genome shotgun sequence.
GCGCCUAUGGCUCAGAGGAGUAGAGUGUUGGCCUCAUAUGCCAGAGGUGGCAGGUUCAAACCCAGCCUGGGGCCA